rnacentral:rRNA from 1 species
UACGAAGGGUGCAAGCGUUACUCGGAAUUACUGGGCGUAAAGGGUGCGUAGGUGGUUUGUUAAGUCUGCUGUGAAAUCCCCGGGCUCAACCUGGGAAUGGCAGUGGAUACUGGCAAGCUAGAGUGCGGUAGAGGGUAGUGGAAUUCCCGGUGUAGCAGUGAAAUGCGUAGAGAUCGGGAGGAACACCCGUGGCGAAGGCGGCUCACUGGGCUGACCUUGACGCUGAGGCGCGAAGGCGUGGGGAGCGAACGGG